CCUACGGGAGGCAGCAGUGAGGAAUAUUGGUCAAUGGACGAGAGUCUGAACCAGCCAAGUCGCGUGAAGGAUGACGGCCCUAUGGGUUGUAAACUUCUUUUGUAUGGGAGUAAAAGCAGGUACGCGUAUCUGCUUGAAAGUACCGUACGAAUAAGGAUCGGCUAACUCCGUGCCAGCAGCCGCGGUAAUACGGAGGAUUCGAGCGUUAUCCGGAUUUAUUGGGUUUAAAGGGUGCGUAGGCGGAAGGAUAAGUUAGUGGUGAAAUUCGGAGGCUCAACGUCCAAAUUGCCGUUGAAACUGGUAGUCUUGAGUGGAGGAGAGGUAGGCGGAAUGUGUGGUGUAGCGGUGAAAUGCGUAGAUAUCACACAGAACUCCGAUUGCGAAGGCAGCUUACCGGCCUACAACUGACGCUGAUGCACGAAAGCGUGGGGAGCAAACAGGAUUAGAUACCCUUGUAGUC
rnacentral:rRNA from 1 species